rfam:Glossina pallidipes unplaced genomic scaffold Scaffold47, whole genome shotgun sequence.
GGGGGUAGUUUUUACUACGUAGGCGAUGGGCAUGGAUGGCGAAUCGUACAUGCUGCUACUAAGAACCAGCAGUAUCUCUGGAAGAUUUUCUACCUCC